GACGAACCGUGCGAACGUUGUUCGGAAUCACUGGGCUUAAAGGGCGCGUAGGCGGGCGAUCAAGUCCGGGGUGAAAUCUUUCGGCUUAACCGGAAAAGGGCCUUGGAUACUGAUUGUCUCGAGGGUGGCAGGGGCAUGUGGAACUUCCGGUGGAGCGGUGAAAUGCGUUGAUAUCGGAAGGAACGCCGGUGGCGAAAGCGACGUGCUGGACCACUUCUGACGCUGAGGCGCGAAAGCCAGGGGAGCAAACGGG
rnacentral:rRNA from 1 species